rnacentral:rRNA from 1 species
UGGGCGCAGCCUGAUCCAGCCACGCCGCGUGAGUGAUGAAGGCCUUCGGGUCGUAAAGCUCUGUGGGGAGGGACGAACCGCUGCACGUGCAUAUCGUGCAGCAUGACGGUACCUCCUUAGCAAGCACCGGCUAACUUCGUGCCAGCAGCCGCGGUAAUACGAAGGGUGCAAACGUUGCUCGGAAUUAUUGGGCGUAAAGCGCACGUAGGCGGCUUGACAAGUCGGAUGUGAAAUCCCUCGGCUCAACCAAGGAAGUGCAUCCGAAACUGUCAAGCUUGAGUACGAAAGAGGANCGCGGAAUUCC